rnacentral:rRNA from 1 species
AUGGAGCCGACCUUGAAAUACCACCCUUUAAUGUUUGAUGUUCUAACGUUGACCCGUAAUCCGGGUUGCGGACAGUGUCUGGUGGGUAGUUUGACUGGGGCGGUCUCCUCCUAAAGAGUAACGGAGGAGCACGAAGGUUGGCUAAUCCUGGUCGGACAUCAGGAGGUUAGUGCAAUGGCAUAAGCCAGCUUGACUGCGAGCGUGACGGCGCGAGCAGGUGCGAAAGCAGGUCAUAGUGAUCCGGUGGUUCUGAAUGGAAGGGCCAUCGCUCAACGGAUAAAAGGUACUCCGGGGAUAACAGGCUGAUACCGCCCAAGAGUUCAUAUCGACGGCGGUGUUUGGCACCUCGAUGUCGGCUCAUCACAUCCUGGGGCUGAAGUAGGUCCCAAGGGUAUGGCUGUUCGCCAUUUAAAGUGGUACGCGAGCUGGGUUUAGAACGUCGUGAGACAGUUCGGUCCCUAUCUGCCGUGGGCGCUGGAGAACUGAGGGGGGCUGCUCCUAGUACGAGAGGACCGGAGUGGACGCAUCACUGGUGUUCGGGUUGUCAUGCCAAUGGCACUGCCCGGUAGCUAAAUGCGGAAGAGAUAAGUGCUGAAAGCAUCUAAGCACGAAACUUGCCCCGAGAUGAGUUCUCCCUGACCCUUUAAGGGUCCUGAAGGAACGUUGAAGACGACGACGUUGAUAGGCCGGGUGUGUAAGCG